rnacentral:lncRNA from 10 species
UGCAACACUCUGAGCAACUGUUCUCAGUUCUUCUGCCUUAUUUCUGGCCUCCGUUGCAACUGUUUUGACCUAGUGAAGGCCUAGACUUUCUCAGACAGAUUUCUUUUAACUCUUCUGCCCUGACUCCAGUCUUCACUGGGAUGCUGCCUUGCACUUAGGGAAGGUUCACAUGCCUCAAGGAUCUCUCUCUCUCAGAUUUCUUGACUUUCCCUCAGUCUUCAGUAUAGUCCUCCUCUGUGCCUGGUGAAGACCUGUGGUAAAGUGCUGGCAGGGCUAGGCUUACACCCAAUUUAUGGUCAUCUUGCUCAUGCUCAUCCUGCACAAUUUCUAGCAUUUGGAGAAUGUUUCUCAUGGUAGCAUCUAAUGCCUGUGGCUGCUGAGAGAAAGCAGCGAUGAGGGGAAGACACUGACCUCUGUUUGGAGCUGCCGGCUUCCCCUUGAAGGAAUAGGAGUAGACCUGCUGAACUAUCACAUGAGAGAAGAGGCCCAAAAGCUUGCACACUACAGUCAAGCUGGCCCUUAAAGAGAUGGACCUAGAAGAUGCUGAGCCAGAUGUACUCAAUUACUUCUCCAAAAUUCAUCAAUUAGGAAUACAACAUGUUUAAGACCACAGAACAUCUGCAUAGGCUGUAAAUUUCGUUGAAUGAUGGAUGCAAAGAUGGAAGACAGAUGGAUAGAGGAAAAGACAGAAUCAGAUACUGGAUGAGUUAGUACUGCUGCCUGUGCUUCAGAGCUGUCUUAUUACCACAAGGCCGGCAAGCAUCAAUGUCCCCACAUCCCCCUCUGCCUCCCCCUGAAAUGUACCGAUUUAUAUGAAAAUUAAGAUUACAAAUUAAAGCCUGGCUAUCCUGGAGUUUUCCAGUUCAUCAGCCAUCCAAUAAAAAUGAUGUCAAGCCUGUAUGCAUAAUUCCCGGAAGAUUACUUUCGUCCUUACAGCUAAGCCCUGUCCCUGAUAUGAAAGAUCUCUAUCCACUUUUAUUGAAAUAAAGAACUAACAUCAUAAUCCCAAUAUUGAGGUAUAAUCUUCAUUAUCUCCUGACCCUCUUGAGGUUCCCCCAAUCUAUAUUACUUCAGAUUUGGUUUAUGUGUAAUCCUUAUGUAUUUACUUUUAUUGAGAUAGGAUUAAAAACUAAAAAAAAAGCUUCAA